rnacentral:rRNA from 1 species
UCAGAUUGAACGCUGGCGGCAGGCCUAACACAUGCAAGUCGAGCGGGGUUUUCGGACCUAGCGGCGGACGGGUGAGUAAUGCGUAGGAAGCUACCCGAUAGAGGGGGAUACCAGUUGGAAACGACUGUUAAUACCGCAUAAUGUCUACGGACCAAAGUGUGGGACCUUCGGGCCACAUGCUAGCGGAUGCGCCUACGUGGGAUUAGCUAGUUGGUGGGGUAAUGGCUCACCAAGGCGACGAUCCCUAGCUGGUUUGAGAGGAUGAUCAGCCACACUGGAACUGAGACACGGUCCAGACUCCUACGGGAGGCAGCAGUGGGGAAUAUUGGACAAUGGGCGCAAGCCUGAUCCAGCCAUGCCGCGUGUGUGAAGAAGGCCUUCGGGUUGUAAAGCACUUUCAGCGAGGAGGAAGGGAGUUGUGUUAAUAGUACAGCUUCUUGACGUUACUCGCAGAAGAAGCACCGGCUAACUCUGUGCCAGCAGCCGCGGUAAUACAGAGGGUGCAAGCGUUAAUCGGAAUUACUGGGCGUAAAGCGCACGUAGGCGGUUUUUUAAGUCAGAUGUGAAAGCCCCGGGCUCAACCUGGGAAUUGCAUUUGAAACUGGAAAACUAGAGUGUGUGAGAG